AGCGUCACUAUCGUCACCAAUCUCUACGGGUCCAUCAAGGAGACGUGGCUCACAUUGUGAUGGAGACUUCACUGCUCGCGUAUCAGAUUGGAACAGUGGUAGUGGUUGGAGUGGUCCCUGUAAGGCUGUUGCUCCCUCUCAGUUAUAGAGACGCGCAAUGACUAUUCUUACAAGAUCCAACUCUACCAUCAAACCUUUACCAUUCGCACCAGGGGUGAGAACUUCCACCGGCACAAUACAAUCUGGGUUUCGAGUCCUCUGCAAACGGGUUGAGGUUUAAAUUUCCUAGCCUGUAGCUUAUCCAAGGGAUUAAAAUAAAUAAA